CUCUUGAUCGUAUACAUAUAUCAAUCCUUCUUGCUGCUGGAUUUCAUCUUCUUAUAGCAAACUGGAUAUCAGUUCUUGCAGAUGAUUCUUGGAGACCAUCUUUUUCUUGGGCUAUUUAGGUUGGGAACCGCUAGGGUCUGGAUAAAGUUGGGAUCUUGAUUGGAUUACCGGUUCGUUUGUGGUGGAUCGAUUGGGGUUUCUUCGUCGCCCUCCUUCUUUCUCCCUGUUCCGUUUGAGGCAUUCCUAAAUGUGUAACUUCGUGUGGUUUCUCGAGUUUGUUUUCUUUAUUCUUCAAUUGGCUUUCGAUGUCUAGGGCUGUUUGUCCAGUUUGGGCUGGUUUAGGUUUCUUCUUCGCCAUGGCGAUCUGCUGAGCGUGCUUGCUAUUGAUCGAGGAAGUGAUCUAGACUAUCACCCUGGAGCGUCUUGUUUCUUGGAUUGAGAUGGCCAUGGAGCAGAGAGUCCAUGAGAUUUUAGAGGCGAUUAGGGUUUAAGUUCCGACUGUUUAAGGGAUUGUUUGAGAUGGACUGCUUGCAGCUGGGUUGGAAAGCUGAUGGAUUUCGUCAGCAAAGGUUAUGCACAAGUGAUGUGACUGUUGAAGUUGGGGAGAGAAUCUUUCUUCUUCACAAGAUAAUAAUUCUUCAUCAUUCAUCCUUAUUAGGCUGUUAAUCUCAGGAUGCAAAUUGCAGUUUGAUUGUUGCAGUUCCUCAAUUCCACUGCCAGGCUUAUAAUCAUCACUAGUCAUACAAUUGCAAAUUUAGUAUUUGACGAACUCAUGUUCCUAAUCUCAACAACCGCAACAACAACGGAAACAAACAUCGUGCCAUCGUCGAAGGUAAACGGGCACAUCCAUGGCUGCUUACAGAAGAGUGCCAGAGGGAAGAGCUAUUCCAGCCGAUGAACUGCUAACCAGUGAGAACAGUGGCUGAAGGUGAGCUUUGAUGAUGGUGUCUGAAAUCCAAAAAGAGUGCUCAAGCAUGAACAAGAACUCGACACUGCUAAAUGGUUCGAUAAGGGCUAAUUAAAGCUUACAAUUCACAAGAAACAAUUGUCGACAGGCAUGUAAAGACUCUGCAAGGAUCUUAUAGUUUCAUGAGCAUUCUUUUUUCUGAUACAAGGCAGCAGAACUCUCAACCUUGUUCAGAAAGGGAGAUGAAAGCCAAUAUGAACCCAUCCUUCAUGGUCUGUGUCCUAUAGGCUAUAUGAGUGUGAUGAAAACUUGGUUUCAAUACUGAUGCAUGUAUCAGUCAAGAGUCAGUAAUGACAAGAUAUAUGAUAGAUGCAUGGAUGAAUGAGUUCUAUUUGAUCC